AGUGAACGCUGGCGGUAGGCCUAACACAUGCAAGUCGAACGGCAGCACAGUAAGAGCUUGCUCUUACGGGUGGCGAGUGGCGGACGGGUGAGGAAUACAUCGGAAUCUACUUUUUCGUGGGGGAUAACGUAGGGAAACUUACGCUAAUACCGCAUACGACCUACGGGUGAAAGCAGGGGAUCUUCGGACCUUGCGCGAUUGAAUGAGCCGAUGUCGGAUUAGCUAGUUGGCGGGGUAAAGGCCCACCAAGGCGACGAUCCGUAGCUGGUCUGAGAGGAUGAUCAGCCAAACUGGAACUGAGACACGGUCCAGACUCCUACGGGAGGCAGCAGUGGGGAAUAUUGGACAAUGGGCGCAAGCCUGAUCCAGACAUACCGCGUGGGUGAAGAAGGCCUUCGGGUUGUAAAGCCCUUUUGUUGGGAAAGAAAAGCAGCAGGUUAAUACCCCGCUGUUCUGACGGUACCCAAAGAAUAAGCACCGGCUAACUUCGUG
rnacentral:rRNA from 1 species